UUUUUUUUUUUUUUUUUAAGGGUAGCAGAGAAGAUGGCACAGAACUACAGAGAGAGUUGGAUAUUGAAAGACUCGGAGAUGGAGGAGUCAAGUAAUGGGAUUCUGUUUCCAGGCUCUAUGCUAUGCUCCCCACAGGUGUGCAAGCUUCUUGGAGAUCUGGGGCCUGAUUAUCAUCCUCGUGUGGGCCCUGACACCAGGGAGCACCACCACUGAGUGGUCUGUGAGGGAUGGAACCACAGCUUAAGAUCGUAAGUCCUCCCAAUAUUCUCAGUUAUGUAAGCCUUUGGGAUAUUUUAUAACCUCAAGAGAGUCAUCGGCCAACCCAAGCUCAGGGAAGUACAUAGAUAGAAGAUGAUGAUACCUAGACAGACAGACAGACAGACAGACAGACAUAUACAUGAAAAACCACGAAGGAAAUACUCCAUAAUGUUAAUGGUAGUUAACAUUUGGAGGUGGGUUUAUCGGCAAUUUUUUUCUUUUUUAUACGUUUCUAUAUUUCUCAGAAAUUCUGAAAAACACCUAACUUGCUUUUAGAAUUAGGGAAUGAAAAUUCAAGAAAUGUCUUUCUUUAAAAUCAAAGCACAUAUCUUAUUCACCUUUUUUCUAUGCAGCAUCUAGCCCAGUUCUGGUACACACAGCAGGGAGUCAAAAAAUAACUAAAUUAAAUUAAAUAAACAAUUCAAAGCCUGUGCCAUAAUGGUAAGUUAAUACAAUCACCCUGGUGUGCAAGAAACAUUCCAUGCAAUAUGAAAGAGAGUAUUCUGAGAAUAGCUAUUCUGAAAAUAUCAUUCUGUAUAAGACUAUUAAAAUUACCACGGGAGAAGGACUAUGUAAGCGUUAAACAAAGGCAAUCGGAGCUCAAGGACAGUGUCCUUAGGUUGGAGACAGGCUUUGUUUAGGUCCCCAUGUUACCACUAAGUGUAUCGCUUUGGUAAGUCACUGACCUCUCCAAGCCUUCAACACUUCAUCUGUAAAUAUAAGUUUUCCUAUAAAUAUUAUAAUAUAAAUCUCCUUAAGCAUGGCAUUGUUAUUAUCAAGUGAAGUGUAGAAUUUCAAAGCAAUUUUGAGCUAUGAUAUGCUAUACCAGACCAUUUUGAUUAUGAGAGCCUGUCUUUGGUAGGGGAAAAAAAAAAAGAUGAAUAACAUAUUAGUUAAUUCUUUUAAAUUAUUUAUCAAAUAGAAAAAAAAUCAAACUCCUGCCUUUUUGUCCACUCAGUGAUCUUAUAAGUCAUAUCUUAACAUAAUGACAAACUGAUGUGAUAAAAGAAUUAAGUUAGAAGAAAUUGAGGUUGGUUAGUGACUAACUAUACUUGGCCAAGCAGUUCAGUCCCCUACUCAUUCAUUUGGUGUCGUGUCAGACACUCUUCUAGGGCUGGAAAUUUAGGAGUGAACCAGGUAAGUAUCUCUGCCCUAGGAUAGCUUUCAUUUUAAUGGGGAAGAGCCCAACAAUCUACAAAUAAACAAAAAAAUCUAAGAUUGAGAUACAUGCUCUGAAGAAAGUAAGGAGGAUGGUGGUCACUAGCCUCCAAGAUGGUCCCCAGUGAUCCUACCUCCUGAUGUCCACAUCCUCAUAUAGUCCCCUCCCCUUGUAUGGACUUGGUCCGACUGACCAGUACAAUGCGAAAGAGGUCCUGGUUUGUCACUUUCAAGAUUGAGUUAUAGGGGAGGGAGUGGAAUGUUCUGGGAGUCUGGGGGUAAUAGAUGCAGACUAUUGCAUUUGGAGGGGAUAAACAAUGAGAUCCUGCUGUGUAGCACAGGGAACUAUAUCUAGUCACUUGUGAUGGAACAUGAUGGAGGAUAAUGUGAGAGAAAGAAUAUAGAUAUAUAGCUAUAUAUGACUGGGUAACUUUGCUGUACAGUAGAGAAUUUGACAGAACACUGUAAACCAGUAAUAAUGGAAAAAAUAAAAAUCAUUUUUAAAAAAUAUUAAAUUACAGAAGACACUGUGUCUUCUGUUUGGUCACCCUCUCUGGCUCACUCUGGGGCAGAAGCCAACUAACAUGUAUUGAGGACACUUAGACAGCCUAUGGGGAGUCCCAUGUGGCAACCAAGUGUCCUCAAUAGGACACAGAGGCCUGCCAGCAAUAGAUGAAUAGUCUUAGAAGUGGAUCCUCCAGUCCUUCAAGUGACCCAGCCAACAGCUUGACUGCAGCCUCAUGAGUGAUCCCAAGCCAGAACACUAGCUCCCAGAUAACUGAUGCACAGAAAAUGUGAGACAGAUAAUAAAUCUUGUUGUAAGCUGCUGAGUUUGGGGUAAUUUGUUAGAUAUUUAUCAGAUAACUAAUACAAGGACCAUGAAAUCAAUUGGUCAGUGGUUUGAGAAAUGCUACUUGAGAUUAUAUUUGCUCCAAAACCUGAAGACAAGAGUGACUGUGCAAAAAAAAGCCAGGUCAAGGGGACAGCCAGCCAAAGUGGGGAGGACUUGGAAGGUUUAAGAAGCAAAUGAUUGUUUCUUCCUAGUGUGAGUCUGUGCACCGAUUAGGCAAGUCUCCAUGGUGCCCCUCACAGGUACCCUACUGCAGACAAUUCCCAUUUUCCACUGCCUCAUCUACCACAUCCACGCUCUUUCCCUCCAGCAUUUCUCUACAGAGGAACUAAUGGGUUUAAAACCCUACACAAUCUGGCCUAUGGAGACCCCAGAGUAUCAUGACCAAAAAUACUCAGUGGCACGAGGGGUUCUUAGAUACAAAACUCAGCUCCACCACCAACCGGGAGCUGGGCUUCAUCUCUCUAGACCUCAUUUUUGCUCAUUUCUUCAAUAAGCCUGCCAAGGAUUAAAUGAAAUAAAAUAUGUAAAAUAGCACAGGCCUGACACGUGGAAAAUACAUAGAGAUGGGAGCUAUCGUUUAAUUAUUUCUCUCUUUGCCUAGCCAAAUCCCUCUCACACUUCAGAAUCAAACUGAAGACAGAUCUCAUCCAAGAAUUUUCUGCCCUUCCACUUACCCCCUUUUGGAAAUUAUAAUGCUUGCAUUGCCAAUUGACAGGUUCCCUGGGUGCAGUUGGCACCAGAGAGCUAUUGCUUUCUGUGGAAACUACAAAGGUGGCCAGGAAAAUUUCUUAAACCCACGGGCAGGCUUCCUUUCCUUCUCUGCUGGAGGGCCCAGUAAUGGAAGGUCUGCUCCCUUCCUGCUCUUCUGCACAGCUUCUUGAGGUUGGUUAUGAAGCUGGACACAGCCUCUGCAGUACACACCCCCUCCUAGCUACCACAAAGGAAAACACGGGGGCCUUUAUAACCCAAAUGUCAGCUCCCUGUUGUCCUCUUAAAACUUUCUUAAACUGAGGGGCAAAAAUAGAUAAUCAAUUGAAAAAAGUGCUCAAGCAUGAAUUAGUGUCAUCCCAGUAUCUUGAGCUCCUCAAAAGAAUUCUGUUUCCUGAGUCUCCCCUUGCUUCGAUUGCCUGUUUUUAGUGAAUUCUUUCUACCCCUCCCCCAAUUUGUGUCUUCCCUGCUCCAGGCAUCCUCUCCUCUCCAGCCAGCAUCCACACCAGUGUGGGAGAUGGCUCCCUCUUCCUGUUCAGUUCCUGUUCAAAUGACCAUCACUGGACAAGGAUGUAAGGCAGAGCUUUGAGAGUGACAAAGGAACUUGAGGGCAGUCUGCACAACAAACAACUGAACAGGAGUUGUUAUGAGGACAGCUCCUGUUACUAACAUUCCACCAGCUCCAACAUCCUGAAAUUUGUUUGCUUUCCCCAAACCCACUGAUAAUCACCAUGGAGAAAAAAAGCUAAAAGAAAGAAAGAAGGAAAGGAAGGAAGGAAGGGGAAAGAACUUAAACACAGGAAGUUUAAAGUGUAAGAAAUGUUACAAAUGUCUUAGCAUGGAUUCUAGAUCUGUCAUUCCGACUCCCUUUCCUAAAUGGCAUCAAAGCCUAGUUAACCAAUCAUUUGUCUUCUUUUUCUCCUUGCUGUUGUUUCUCUAAAGGCUUGCCUCUUCUCUACAGUCUCCCACCUUACAGUGGAGUGAACUCUUUAUUUUCUUAAAGAACCCUCCUUGCCUUAAGCUGAAGAUGCAAAUCAGAUUUGUUGUGAACAUUAUCUUUGUAUGUGCCUAGCUUCCUCCAACAGGUUAUUGAUGUAUCCGAGAUCUUGCACGGUGGAGGGUCCCCCCCUCCAACAGUUCCCAAGUUCUCACCCACCGUACUUGACUUCUAUUGCUUAGUCCUCCUUCGCAUGCUAGAGUACAAAUCCUUUGGGGUACAUGCCAACAGCUUUUAUUUUUUUGACCAUCAAAACCUACACUGAGUGAUAGAAGGCCUUAAUGUCCUUAUUGACUGAUUGAUUCUUGAAACCACACCCACUCAUCAAUCAAUUUUUGCUUUCUUCAUAACUGACCUUAUCCACAUUUACCCAAGGCAAAGGCACCAUAUGUUAGUUCUUAUGUUGGACUAAGUAAAGAAAGGAAAUUUAGAAAGAGCUUCACACAUCAUCUGGGUAAUUAUCCUCUGUUUAUAAUAGAGCAGAUUAAUGUCCCUGCAUUAAUAAAUGACUCAACUGCUGCUGCAAGGACUGAGCAUGAUUAUCUGAGCUUAUUACUUAACCCGCUCAAUUUUAAAAAAAAUCCUAUGAUCUGAUAUGGCAGAACAGAACCGAAGUGUUCCUUAACUUCAGCAGGGAACAAAUGCUGAUACGGGCAGGGUGAUUGGCUAGAGGAGUCUAGACUUGACAGCACAUCCGCAAGAGCCCAAAGAGAGGGUGGCUUUGCAGUCUGCUUGGCUCCUUGCCUGGCCUCCCUCCUGACAUUCAAAGAUAAAUCCACCUAAGCCUUUACUUUAAAAUCUGACCCUGCUCCUAUCUCAAGCUUACCAGCUUGCCCUAAGUUGAAGAAGUGCAAGGAGCCUCAAGUCAAUAGCCUGGACAAUUGCUAGGACUUUAUUCUGGUUUCCUGGUUCAUUUUGGCACUGGCACCCUAGUUUCCAGGUACAUAGGUUUCUUCUUUGUAACCAAGUGGUAUGUCUUACCCUACAGAUAAGACCCAGCUCCCAAGCCCAUGUGGGCAACUCCAU
rnacentral:lncRNA from 1 species